rnacentral:rRNA from 1 species
AUUGAACGCUGGCGGCAGGCCUAACACAUGCGAGUCGAGCGGAUGAAGGGAGCUUGCUCCUGGAUUCAGCGGCGGACGGGUGAGUAAUGCCUAGGAAUCUGCCUGGUAGUGGGGGAUAACGUCCGGAAACGGGCGCUAAUACCACAUACGUCCUGAGGGAGAAAGGGGGGGAUCUUCGGACCUCACGCUAUCAGAUGAGCCUAGGUCGGAUUAGCUAGUUGGUGGGGUAAAGGCCUACCAAGGCGACGAUCCGAAACUGGUCUGAGAGGAUGAUCAGUCACACUGGAACUGAGACACGGUCCAGACUCCUACGGGAGGCAGCAGUGGGGAAUAUUGGACAAUGGGCGAAAGCCUGAUCCAGCCAUGCCGCGUGUGUGAAGAAGGUCUUCGGAUUGUAAAGCACUUUAAGUUGGGAGGAAGGGCAGUAAGUUAAUCCCUUGCUGUUUUGACGUUACCAACAGAAUAAGCACCGGCUAACUUCGUG